GGCGACAUGGCCGAGUGGUCUAAGGCGCUAGAAUCAGGCACCCGUGCUUAUCUAGUCAUUCGUGGCGCGAGUUCGAAUCUCGCUGUCGUCA